rnacentral:lncRNA from 1 species
AACAAAGAACAGAAAAUCAGCCACCAAAAUCGAUACUUUUCGCCCAUACUUAUCAUUAAUCCAUCCACCUACUCCAGCGCCUACUAUUGCUCCUGCAACAGCCAUGCUCACAAUGGUUUCCUACAAUAUAUCAAGGUAUGGUUACUAUUUGUAUCAAUACUUUGGAGAUGAUUCAAAUAUAUAUGCGCACAAACACAGAUACCUGUAGCCAUGUAUUCUUAUCUACAGCUUUAAAAUCCUCUCGUAUGUACAGGAGGGCACCAGAAAUUACACCUGCAACCCAAAUUCAGAUAAUGAAUAAUACACGCCUAAACAGCCUGAAGAAGAUUAAAAUGGAACGAGAUUAUGUUACCGGUGUCAUAGCCAAAGAGAAGGCCUCCAAUGCCAG